rnacentral:rRNA from 1 species
AGCGAACGCUAGCGGCAGGCUUAACACAUGCAAGUCGAGCGCCAGGUUUCGGCCUGGAGCGGCGAACGGGUGAGUAACACGUAGGUCACGUACCCUAUGGUGGGGAAUACCCCGGGGAAACUCGGAUCAAUGCCCCAUAUGUCCGAAAGGAUGAAAGCGUUUCGGCGCGCCAGAGGAUCGGCCUGCGGCCCAUUAUUUAAUCCUAGUUGGUGAGGUAACGGCUCACCAAGGGUACGAUGGGUAGCUGGUCUGAGAGGACGAUCCGCCACACUGGAACUGAGACACGGUCCAGACUCCUACGGGAGGCAGCAGUGGGGAAUAUUGGACAAUGGGCGAAAGCCUGAUCCAGCCAUGCCGCGUGAGUGAUGAAGGCCUUCGGGUUGUAAAGCUCUGUCGUGGGGGAAGAAGUUCUGACGGUACCCCACAAGAAAGCACCGGCUAACUCCGUGCCAGCAGCCGCCGUAAAAC